AAUGAGAAAUAUGAUGAAAAAUUACGUUAGAUAAAAGUAUUUUAGUAGCCUUAUAAAAGUUCUCAUUUGGUAUUUACAAAAAUUCGUACUUUGAUAAUGCUUUUAUACAGCCUCAUAAACACAAUUUAUUUUAAACAAUACUGUGCGCUCCAGUUUCAAAAUCUGUUACCGAUUUAGGAGACAAUGCAAAUUGAAAAUUGCCUAUAAAACCCGCUGCAACUCAAACCCGAUCCACAGAAAAUUUUCAGUUACUAAAAAGAGCUCACGAGAAUAAGUUUGAAACAUGAAUUUCAAGGUGUUUACAAUUUUUGUCGCCAUUGGUCUGAUGGCUACUGCAGCAAAAACUUCUGCCGCUUCGCCAGAUGAAGACAACUGGGAGAGUUUGAAAAUAUCUUGUGUGGAUAACACUACUUGUUCGCUACAAUGCCUAUUCUAUCCAAAAUUCAAGAUAGGCGAAUGCAGGGAAGGGUCAUGUUUUUGCCAAUUAAAAUACGCUUCGCCGAAAAAAGUUGACGAACCAUUUGGUAGUUGUACCGAAAGCCUUAAGUGUGCGUUACAAUGCCUAUCCUAUCCAAGAUACUCUGGUGGCUACUGCAAGGAAAAUACUUGUUUUUGUACUCGCAAAUGAAUUCACUUCAUUCGAAUAUUUAAUCAUACUUCCCAAUCGCAAUGUUUUCACUAAAAAUUAUAAAAGAGUCUUUUAGAAAAAAUGGCUAUUUUUUUCUUUUUUUCUUCAAUUGAUUCUGUCAACAUGAAGUUUUUUGGAAAUGUAUUUUUUAAAUAAAUGAGUUUACUAACAAGAUAACAGUUCGUUUUAUCCAGUUUAUCAAAUAAAUCGUCAAAGCGAUGAAUAAACUCUUCCAAUAAUUGCCCAAUUCACAAAAUGAAUUUGAUCUGGUAAUGAACACAAAAAUGACAAGCGGAUACCAUUUGCUUGAAAUUGAAGAUAUCAUUUUGUUAUUAAUUAAGUCUCUUACGUAUAGUUCUGAAAUGGAAUUAGUCUAAUUUGCGAAAAUAAAUUAAUUUCACGAAAAUGAAUUGAAAUCUCCUUUUUCUCCUUCA